GACGAACACUGGCGGCGUGCUUAACACAUGCAAGUCGAACGGUGAAGCUCCAGCUUGCUGGAGUGGAUCAGUGGCGAACGGGUGAGUAACACGUGAGCAACCUGCCCCUGACUCUGGAAUAAGCGCUGGAAACGGCGUCUAAUACUGGAUACGAGAAGGGUCCGCAUGGGCACUUUCUGGAAAGUUUUUCGGUUGGGGAUGGGCUCGCGGCCUAUCAGCUUGUUGGUGAGGUAAUGGCUCACCAAGGCGACGACGGGUAGCCGGCCUGAGAGGGCGACCGGCCACACUGGGACUGAGACACGGCCCAGACUCCUACGGGAGGCAGCAGUGGGGAAUAUUGCACAAUGGGCGAAAGCCUGAUGCAGCGACGCCGCGUGAGGGAUGACGGCCUUCGGGUUGUAAACCUCUUUCAGCAGGGAAGAAGCGAAAGUGACGGUACCUGCAGAAGAAGCACCGGCUAACUACGUG
rnacentral:rRNA from 1 species